AACGUAGGAGACAAACGUUAUCCGGAGUUACUGGGCGUAAAGGGCGUGUAGGUGGUUGCGUAAGUCUGGCGUGAAAUUUUUCGGCUUAACCGGGAAAGGUCGUCGGAUACUGCGUAGCUAGAGGACGGAAGAGGCGAGUGGAAUUCCUGGUGUAGCGGUGAAAUGCGCAGAUAUCAGGAGGAACACCUAUUGCGAAGGCAGCUCGCUGGGACGGUAUUGACGCUAAGGCGCGAAAGCGUGGGGAGCAAACAGG
rnacentral:rRNA from 1 species